CACUGUGCGGUGCCCUAUUCACAAAGGAGCAGAUUGCUUAUACUGCAUGUAAUUUGCGCCUUUGUGAAUAGAGCAACGCUCAGUAA
rfam:Pteropus alecto contig106322, whole genome shotgun sequence.